rnacentral:rRNA from 1 species
UACGAAGGGGGCUAGCGUUGUUCGGAAUUACUGGGCGUAAAGGGCGCGUAGGCGGUGUGUCAAGUCAGGCGUGAAAGCCCCGGGCUCAACCUGGGAACCGCGCUUGAGACUGGCACGCUCGAGUUCGGGAGAGGAUGGUGGAAUUCCCAGUGUAGAGGUGAAAUGCGCAGAUAUCAGGAAGAACACCCGUGGCUAAGGCGGCUCUCUAGUACGGUACUGACGCUGAGACGCGAAAGCGUGGGGAGCGAACAGG